rnacentral:rRNA from 1 species
GAUGAACGCUGGCGGCGUGCCUAAUACAUGCAAGUCGAGCGAACAGAUGAGGAGCUUGCUCCUCUGACGUUAGCGGCGGACGGGUGAGUAACACGUGGAUAACCUACCUAUAAGACUGGGAUAACUUCGGGAAACCGGAGCUAAUACCGGAUAAUAUAUUGAACCGCAUGGUUCAAUAGUGAAAGACGGUUUUGCUGUCACUUAUAGAUGGAUCCGCGCCGCAUUAGCUAGUUGGUAAGGUAACGGCUUACCAAGGCAACGAUGCGUAGCCGACCUGAGAGGGUGAUCGGCCAGACUGGAACUGAGACACGGACCAGACUCCUACGGGAGGCAGCAGUAGGGAAUCUUCCGCAAUGGGCGAAAGCCUGACGGAGCAACGCCGCGUGAGUGAUGAAGGUCUUCGGAUCGUAAAACUCUGUUAUUAGGGAAGAACAAAUGUGUAAGUAACUAUGCACGUCUUGACGGUACCUAAUCAGAAAGCCACGGCUAACUACGUG